UGGAUAGCUCAGACGGGUAGAGCAAUGGACUUGUACUCCAUGUGUCGCGGGUUCGAUUCCCGCUCCAA
rnacentral:tRNA from 1 species